UACGGAGGGUGCGAGCGUUGUCCGGAAUCACUGGGCGUAAAGGGCGCGUAGGUGGCGCCGCAAUGUCAACGGUGAAGCUACGACGGCUUAACGUCCGAGUCGGCCGCGAGACUGCGGGGCUCGAGCACUGUGAGAGGGCUCAUGGAAUUCCGGGGUGUAGCGGUAGGAAUGCGUAGAGAUCCGGAAAGAACGACCGGUGGCGAAGGCGGGUGAAGGCUGGGGGUCCAGGUUGCU
rnacentral:rRNA from 1 species